CGAUUAUUUAGCCUGGUUCUCUGACGAUACAAGGCGCCCUCGUGAUUUUGACGGAUAUUUGAGAAACUGGAUUCAGACCGUCUGAGAUUUAGGCUAAUAUCGACUCAAAGUUACGAAAUAUUCAUCAAUUCUGUGGGUUUCUGUAUAUUUAAGGCAACAAAAUCUGGAUGUGCUGAGAAAUGCUUAGAAGCCGUGGAUCUCGCAGAGAUGUGCAUGAUACGUGGGAAUCUUCUGGGCAAUAACUCGCUGCAAACAAGGUAAAUCGUACUUGAUGGGCUAUGGAUGCACGCCAAACUAAAUGAAAGGUAAAACUAAAUUUGGACACACUCAUGAAGCUGCUGACCAGAUGUUUAACAAGCUUUCUGAAUUUUUGGUAAAGAACUACA